CCUGUUUUACUUUGACACUUUGACAGAAGUCGAAGUGCGUUCGACUAUUCGAACGCCGCCUUCGGAUGGGACUUUGUUAUUUUUCAAGGCAGAAAUAGACCGACCGCACAGCCUGAAUCUGUGGAACUGUUUUUGGGCAUACAAACAGGCAUGCGGCCGGUCCUAAGAGACUUUUCCAUAUCUCUGGAACCCCUGAACGGAU